ACGCUCGACACCUACGUGAGGCAGCAGUGAGGAAUAUUGGUCAAUGGACGCAAGUCUGAACCAGCCAUGCCGCGUGCAGGAUGACGGCUCUAUGAGUUGUAAACUGCUUUUGUACGAGGGUAAACNCAGAUACGUGUAUCUGUCUGAAAGUAUCGUACGAAUAAGGAUCGGCUAACUCCGUGCCAGCAGCCGCGGUAAUCUGAGCGGCUGGCAAGGC
rnacentral:rRNA from 1 species